UACAGAGGUCUCAAGCGUUGUUCGGAUUCAUUGGGCGUAAAGGGUGCGUAGGCGGCGCUGUAAGUCGGGUGUGAAAUUUCGGAGCUUAACUCCGAAACUGCAUUCGAUACUGCGGUGCUUGAGGACUGGAGAGGAGACUGGAAUUCAUGGUGUAGCAGUGAAAUGCGUAGAGAUCAUGAGGAAGACCAGUGGCGAAGGCGGGUCUCUGGACAGUUCCUGACACUGAGGCACGAAGGCCAGGGGAGCGAACGGG
rnacentral:rRNA from 1 species